CCUACGGGAGGCAGCAGUGAGGAAUAUUGGUCAAUGGGCGGGAGCCUGAACCAGCCAAGCCGCGUGAGGGAAGAAGGCCCUGCGUAUCGUAAACCUCUUUUAUCAGGGAAUAAAGGCCGGUACUAGUCCUCGGAUGAGUGUACCUUAUGAAUAAGCAUCGGCUAACUCCGUGCCAGCAGCCGCGGUAAUACGGAGGAUGCGCGCGUUAUCCGGAUUUAUUGGGUUUAAAGGGUGCGUAGGCGGCUUGUUAAGUCAGCGGUAAAAUCCGGGGGCUCAACCCCAGCGAGCCGUUGAAACUGGCGGGCUUGAGUUGGCGAGGAGUACGCGGAAUUCGCGGUGUAGCGGUGAAAUGCUUAGAGAGCGCGCAGAACUCCGAUUGCGAAGGCAGUGUACCGGAUCCACACUGACGCUGAGGCACGAAAGCGUGGGUAUCGAACAGGAUUAGAUACCCCUGUAGUC
rnacentral:rRNA from 1 species